AAUCAACGCUGGCGGCGUGCCUCAGACAUGCAAGUCGAACGCGAAAGUCCCCUUCGGGGGGCGAGUAGAGUGGCGUCCGGGUGAGUAACACGUAGGUAAUCUACCUCUGGGUGGGGAAUAACAGCCGGAAACGGCUGCUAAUACCGCAUAAUGCAGCGGCACCACAUGGUGACAGUUGUUAAAGCGGGGGAUCGCAAGACCUCGCGCCUAGAGAGGGGCCUGCGGCGGAUUAGCUAGUUGGCAGGGUAAUGGCCUACCAAGGCAACGAUCCGUAGCCGGCCUGAGAGGGCGGUCGGCCACACUGGCACUGACACACGGGCCAGACUCCUACGGGAGGCAGCAGUCGGGAAUUUUGGGCAAUGGGCGAAAGCCUGACCCAGCAACGCCGCGUGAAGGAUGAAGCUUUUCGGAGUGUAAACUUCAUAAGAAUGGGACGAAUAAGGAAGGGCUAAUACCCCUUUUGAUGACGGUACCAUUUGUAAGCUCCGGCUAACUCCGUGCCAGCAGCCGCGGUAAUACGGGGGGAGCAAGCGUUGUUCGGAUUUACUGGGCGUAAAGGGCGCGUAGGCGGCGCAACAAGUCACUUGUGAAAUCUCCGGGCUUAACCCGGAGCGGCCAAGUGAUACUGUCGUGCUAGAGUGCGGAAGGGGCUACUGGAAUUCUCGGUGUAGCGGUGAAAUGCGUAGAUAUCGAGAGGAACACCUGCGGCGAAGGCGGGUAGCUGGGCCGACACUGACGCUGAGGCGCGAAAGCCAGGGGAGCGAACGGGAUUAGAUACCCCGGUAGUCCUGGCCUUAAACGAUGGAUGCUUGGUGUCCGGGGUUACAUAGUCCCCGGG
rnacentral:rRNA from 1 species